ACAGCAGGUCUUGUUCCUCAUCUCUCAACUAUCACUUCCUCUUCUCUUUAAUUUUCUCUUCUUAAUAGUUUAAAACCUCACCUUUCCUCUUCAUCUCAUCAGUUUUUCUCAGUAUUAAGCCAGACAUGCCCAGUUCUUUCCCUCCUUAAACUCUCUUUGUGAUAAUUGCCUUGUCAUGGAUCUUUGGUGUGUAUAUGUAUUUCUCUUUCAACCUUUUUUCUUACCACUGAUCCAGGCAAACUAUGCAAUGAUGAAAAGCCAAAGAAAGAUCUCAGAGUUCAUUUGAAGAGUCUGAGAUGACUCAGUUUCCUAUUGUACUGUAAUGGGAAGCUGACCUAAAAUUUAAGACCUCAUUUACAAAGUACAUUAUUUAUUUAUGUUUUUCUGAACAGAAGAAGAUGAAGAUGAAAGGUCAACAGACUGAACACUGAGCGGUUUCAAUGUACAAACCUCAAGGAACACUUUGAGGACAUAGCAACUCAGAGGUAUGAAACAUCAAUUCAGAAGUUCAGUUUCUGCCCCCCUGCAGUUUUGGUGUCAGCCAAAACUGGUGUUCUUCCCCAAAUGACAAGAAUUGAAAAUAAACCUUUGUAGGGUUUUUUGAAUUAUGCUACAUCCAAAGAGCUCAGACAGGACUGGAUAAGGUACGAGACUUUACUAAGAUCUUGAUAUUAUAGCCUACUUUGGCUCUGUCUGGAUCUGGCUGUCAUAUAGUAGUUAUUUCAGGAACACCAUUUCUUCAUGCCUGUUCUACAUUGUUACUUGAUGACUCAAGCUGUGGAUUGUUCCAGACCCCGUGGACAGAACACAAGACUGCAGGCAUUUCCCUGCUUUACCUAGAGGUUGUGGAUAUAGUUUCAUGGUCAUGUUAACCCAUCUAAAGCAUUGAUGUCAGACACCCAGGCUGCUCCCUACCCUCCUAUAUAUGUUUCUGCAGAUCAUUUUGUGAUCUAAUCAUCAUUACUACCAUGUCAGAAGUCUGUCCUUAAGUGGGAUUAAGAUGCUGGAACUGUACCUGUAACAACCAAGGCUCUUUUAUUCACAUUGAUUAUGUAUGUUGUAUGCUAUGGAUGCAUGAAAUGGCAAUGAAGAAGGCGGAAACAACAAAAAUUGGAGAUUAUAAGGUAAAAUUUAAGCAUUUAUUUCUAUAAAUAGCAAAAAAUAUAAUCCAUUUCUGUGUAACUUAAACUGGUGGCAUCUGGACCUUAAUGAUGCUGUUUAUAAUAAGAAAUUAUUGUGCCUACUUGAGUAAGUUUGAAAUAUUAACAACAUACAGUGGAAAGUUAUUUUGUGUCAGGAGCAGAUAGUCAUCUUUUUAAAGUUUUUCUCUAAAGCAUUUCUUACAGCAAAGUUGAUGGAAAAGCAAAUUCAUUGUGCCUGUCUCAAGAACAUUAGUUAAGCACAUAAUUUUAAACAUAUGACUUUUCCUAAGAACAUGCAUUUUAAAAGAUAUUGAACAGAAUGCUUUAUAUCAGUUUUUGACACAGCACUUCAGCAGCCUUCUAAAGAUGCUUUGAGCGAUGCUUUAUAAAGAAGAAGUUUUUCUGAAAUUAUUCUUCAGUUACAAACAAUUACUAGGAAAAAUGUGAUCCUAAUACUGGAAAUGCACUUGUAAUCACAAAAAGUUUUUUUUUUUUUUUUUUUUUCACUCACUGUUAUGGAUGAGUGCAACAGAAUUAAGAAUUUCCAAUUAAAGCCACAUUUCUGAUUUUAACUCAUGAAGAAGCAAAGAGAGGGCACAUUAACUUUCUAAGAAACCAUUUUUUAGCUGUUACUUCAUUUUUUUAAACUCUUUGUAAGUAACCUUCAAAAGAGGUGCUUAGGAGGAUGCCUAAUAGCAGCUUGACCCAGCAGAACCACUCCUCCAACGAGACACUGCUGGAUGCCUCAGAGAGGUUCCACUCUGUUCUCAUAAUCCUGUACAGCAUUGACCUGGCUGGCGGCACUCUUGGGGUCAUUGUGAUAUCCCACCAGUUGUUUCAAAGGAAGUCACAAUCUGUGAUGACCAUUAUCAUCAUCAACCUCCUGGUGAUGCACACCUUCCUGCUACUCAGCAUUCCCUUUGGCCUCAGCUAUUACUUUUUACAGGAAUGGAAAUUUGGGACAUUCACCUGCAGGCUAGUGAGUGCCAUUAUCUACUUCCACAUGUACACUACUUUCACGUUUUACAUUGCUAUCACAGUAAUAUGUCUCUUCCGACUUGAGUUUAAGAAGUACUACACUAGAGCGUGGGUGAUUUCUGUCUGGCUGCUGGGAGCAUUGGUGAUUACACCUGUUUUUCUCUCUUACUAUGGCACCUCUAGAACAUACCUGUCCUCCCAGUGCUUUCACUUCCAGCAGGAGUUACAAGAAAUACCCAUGGUGAUAGUAAACUACUGCUUGGUUGGAAUUUUGGUGGCUGUUUGUGCUGUGCUCACUGUCUUCCAGCUAUCUGUGAUCUAUAGACUGGUUGUGAAAUACUGGCCUGACAUCAACUCCCAUGUGGAAUUCAGGGCUCAGGCAAAGAGUUUCUUCUUUAUCUUGGUAACGUUAGUGCUCUUUAUGCCUCAUCAUGUAUUCAGAGUACAUUACAUCCAAAACCGCCACCUGGAUAAAGAUCAUAAACUUCUCCCAUACAAUGAAAUUUUUGUAGCUUUAACAACAAUGUGUUGCUUGGAUAUGUUGUUCUUCAUAGCAGGAAUAGCCCACUGAACUCUGAACGACCAGGAAAUCCAGCCACUCUGUGUCAAUACUGGCUCUUGGCCGAACUAAACUUGUGUCAGGACUUUGCUGUGCCACGGAGACUGCUGAGUUUUCAGCAAGGCUAUAUAGGAUUGUCAUAGUCUUUGGCUUUUACAGACUAAGAAGAUCCAUCUUUCCGAAACCACUGGUUUUUAUCUUUUUUUCUUGAAGACAGACAUACAACCCUUACUUUCGUAUUUGACCUAAAUGUCACGUCAUGAAGCUUCAUUAAGAUUUUCUUCAGUCUAACCAUUUUCUCUCCCUAACCAUUAGAACACAAGUACCCAUCCCUUCCUCUUUUUUCCACAGACUGUCUCAAUAACUACAACCCACUGUGGCUAACAAGUUUUCACUGUGAAAGUCUAACAAUUUAUUCUGUCAGUUGUGAUACUGAUGGGGAGAGGUAAGAAGGAAAUUCCUUUACAACCUUUUUGUACAAGUGAUUUUAGAUAAGGAUAUAAGCUAUAUUAGAAAUGCAUUCAGGGCAUGAAACAGUACAUGAGUGAAAUGUUUUAGUGGAAUAUUCUAGCAUAAUCUUCUUUUGUUCAUAUAUACAAAGCGUAUAUUAAAUUAAAUGAAAACAUUUAACAUUCUCAUAACUUCAACUUUACUUGACUCACUUCAAAAACACAAGCAGCUCCCUGAACUGAGGUAAUUACACCGUCAAAGUGAGUGAGAGCUGAACAGGUCACAAGUUUCAAAACUUCUGUCUUAUGUCACUCUCCCACCAGGUCUGGAUCGGUGGCUGUUACCCCUUAAGUCCAUUGCAGCCAAAGCAAUCCAAGUUAUCAUUGUGCCUUGUCCAUAACUGGAGCUGGAAUUCAGGACUGAGGGGUCUGGUCCUUCAUGGAAGGAUCAGCUGCUCUCUAGGAGAGAGAAAUAUUUUAACAGCCUUCAAAAACCAUUUGAGCAGAAAAUGUCUUUGAUGGCUGGUCACUUUCAGUUGCCUGUUGAUUUAUUAUCAGAUGCCAUAUUUUUUCCAUUUAUAGAUGUAACAAAGCAAAACUAGAAUAAACUAACUGAACUGUGUUUAA